rnacentral:rRNA from 1 species
GAUGAACGCUGGCGGCGUGCCUAAUACAUGCAAGUCGAGCGAAUGGAUUAAGAGCUUGCUCUUAUGAAGUUAGCGGCGGACGGAUGAGUAACACGUGGGUAACCUGCCCAUAAGACUGGGAUAACUCCGGGAAACCGGGGCUAAUACCGGAUAACAUUUUGAACCGCAUGGAUCGAAAUUGAAAGGCGGCUUCGGCUGUCACUUAUGGAUGGACCCGCGUCGCAUUAGCUAGUUGGUGAGGUAACGGCUCACCAAGGCAACGAUGCGUAGCCGACCUGAGAGGGUGAUCGGCCACACUGGGACUGAGACACGGCCCAGACUCCUACGGGAGGCAGCAGUAGGGAAUCUUCCGCAAUGGACGAAAGUCUGACGGAGCAACGCCGCGUGAGUGAUGAAGGCUUUCGGGUCGUAAAACUCUGUUGUUAGGGAAGAACAAGUGCUAGUUGAAUAAGCUGGCACCUUGACGGUACCUAACCAGAAAGCCACGGCUAACUACGUGCCAGCAGCCGCGGUAA